rnacentral:lncRNA from 7 species
UGUGCACCCAAUGAGCAACACAAGGAGUGUGCCAUGUGAGCAACACGAGUGUGCCAUGAGCACUGUGAGCAGCACGAGGAGUGCGCCAUGUGAGCAACACAACUGUGCCAUGUGCACCCUGUGAGCAGCACGAGGGGUGUGCAAUGUGCACUCCAUGAGGAGCACGAGGGGUGUGCUGUGUGAGCAACACGAGGAGUGCGCCACGUGCACCCCAUGAGCAACACGAGGUGUGUGCCAUGUGAGCAACACGAGUGUGCAAUGUGCACCCAAUGAGCAGCACGAGGACUGUGCCAUGAGCACUGGGAGCUGCACGAGGAGUGCGCCGUGUGAGCAACACGAGGAGUGUGCCACGUGCACCCAAUGAACAGCACAAGGGCUGUGCAAUGUGCACCCAAUGAGCAACACAAGGAGUGUGCCGUGUGAGCAACACGAGGAGCGUGCCAUGUGCACUGUGAGCAGCACAAGGGGUGUGCAAUGUGCACCCCGUGAGCAGCACGAGGAGCGUGCCAUGUGCACUGUG